rnacentral:rRNA from 1 species
GAUGAACGCUGGCGGCGUGCCUAGUACGUGCAAGUCGAGCGAACGGACGAGAAGCUUGCUUUUCUGAUGUUAGCGGCGGACGGGUGAGUAACACGUGGAUAACCUACCUAUAAGACUGGGAUAACUUCGGGAAACCGGAGCUAAUACCGGAUAAUAUUUUGAACCGCAUGGUUCAAAAGUGAAAGACGGUCUUGCUGUCACUUAUAGAUGGAUCCGCGCUGCAUUAGCUAGUUGGUAAGGUAACGGCUUACCAAGGCAACGAUGCAUAGCCGACCUGAGAGGGUGAUCGGCCACACUGGAACUGAGACACGGUCCAGACUCCUACGGGAGGCAGCAGUAGGGAAUCUUCCGCAAUGGGCGAAAGCCUGACGGAGCAACGCCGCGUGAGUGAUGAAGGUCUUCGGAUCGUAAAACUCUGUUAUUAGGGAAGAACAUAUGUGUAAGUAACUGUGCACAUCUUGACGGUACCUAAUCAGAAAGCCACGGCUAACUACGUG